GGGCGGUUGGCGCAGCGGUAGCGCACUUCCCUGACACGGAAGGGGUCACUGGUUCGAUCCCAGUAUCGCCCA
rnacentral:tRNA from 2 species